rnacentral:lncRNA from 1 species
UCGUCGCUCGGUGCUCCGACACCGGGGGCGUGCAGCCACGUCCCCCUUUCAGGUUCGGUAGGGGCGUCUGGGGUGGAGACCAGAUGAUCGCCGGCACGGCCGAUGAGGCCCUACUGGGCCGGCGAGGCAAAGUGCUAGGGGUACGCGCUAGUCCAAGAACAGACGUACGCACGAUUUUUACCCAGGUUCGGGCCACCCGGAGGUGUAAAACCCUACGUCCUGCCUGUCUGAGUUGAUAUUGAUUAC